rnacentral:rRNA from 1 species
UACGAAGGGUGCAAGCGUUACUCGGAAUUACUGGGCGUAAAGCGUGCGUAGGUGGUGAGUUAAGUCUGUCGUGAAAGCCCGGGCUCAACCUGGGAAUGGCGAUGGAUACUGGCUCGCUAGAGUGCGGUAGAGGAGAGUGGAAUUCCCGGUGUAGCAGUGAAAUGCGUAGAGAUCGGGAGGAACAUCAGUUGCGGAAGGCGGCUCUCUGGACCAGCACUGACACUGAGGCACGAAAGCGUGGGGAGCAAACAGG